rnacentral:rRNA from 1 species
AGGACGAACGCUGGCGGCGCGCUUAACACAUGCAAGUCGAGCGAGAACCUGGCUUCGGCCAGGGGAAAGCGGCGAACGGGUGAGUAACACGUGGGUAACCCACCCUUGGUAUCCGGAUAGCCCGGGGAAACCCGGAUUAAUACGGAAUGGCCCAACAGGUUUUCGGACCGGUUGGAAAAGGUAGCUUCGGCCUCCGACCAAGGACGGGCCCGCGGUGGAUUAGCUUGUUGGUGAGGUAACGGCCCACCAAGGCUUCGAUCCAUAGCUGGUCUGAGAGGACGAUCAGCCACACUGGGACUGAGACACGGCCCAGACUCCUACGGGAGGCAGCAGUGGGAAUCUUGCGCAAUGGGCGAAAGCCUGACGCAGCGACGCCGCGUGGGGAAGAAGGCCUUCGGGUUGUAAACCCCUUUCAGCAGGGACGAAGCGAAGUGACGGUACCUGCAGAGAAGCGCGGCUAACUACGUGCCAGCAGCCGC